AGCGAACGCUGGCGGCAUGCCUAACACAUGCAAGUCGCACGGUCGGGGGGUGACCUUCGGCAGUGGCGGACGGGUGAGUAACGCGUAGGGAUCUAUCCUUGGAUGGGGGACAACCGCGGGAAACCGCGGCUAAUACCGCAUGAUGCCUGAGGGCCAAAGCUCGCGAGAGCGUCUGGGGAGGAGCCUGCGUCCGAUUAGCUAGUUGGUGGGGUAACGGCCCACCAAGGCGUCGANCGGUAGCUGGUCUGAGAGGAUGAUCAGCCACACUGGGACUGAGACACGGCCCAGACUCCUACGGGAGGCAGCAGUGGGGAAUAUUGGACAAUGGGCGCAAGCCUGAUCCAGCAAUGCCGCGUGGGUGAAGAAGGUCUUCGGAUUGUAAAGCCCUUUCGACGGGGACGAUGAUGACGGUACCCGUAGAAGAAGCCCCGGCUAACUUCGUGCCAGCCGCCGCGGUAAU
rnacentral:rRNA from 1 species